GGAGGUAUCAGAAGUGCGAAUGCUGACAUAAGUAACGAUAAAGCGGGUGAAAAGCCCGCUCGCCGGAAGACCAAGGGUUCCUGUCCAACGUUAAUCGGGGCAGGGUGAGUCGACCCCUAAGGCGAGGCCGAAAGGCGUAGUCGAUGGGAAACAGGUUAAUAUUCCUGUACUUGGUGUUACUGCGAAGGGGGGACGGAGAAGGCUAUGUUGGCCGGGCGACGGUUGUCCCGGUUUAAGCGUGUAGGCUGGUUUUCCAGGCAAAUCCGGAAAAUCAAGGCUGAGGCGUGAUGACGAGGCACUACGGUGCUGAAGCAACAAAUGCCCUGCUUCCAGGAAAAGCCUCUAAGCAUCAGGUAACAUCAAAUCGUACCCCAAACCGACACAGGUGGUCAGGUAGAGAAUACCAAGGCGCUUGAGAGAACUCGGGUGAAGGAACUAGGCAAAAUGGUGCCGUAACUUCGGGAGAAGGCACGCUGAUAUGUAGGUGAAGUCCCUCGCGGAUGGAGCUGAAAUCAGUCGAAGAUACCAGCUGGCUGCAACUGUUUAUUAAAAACACAGCACUGUGCAAACACGAAAGUGGACGUAUACGGUGUGACGCCUGCCCGGUGCCGGAAGGUUAAUUGAUGGGGUCAGCGCAAGCGAAGCUCUUGAUCGAAGCCCCGGUAAACGGCGGCCGUAACUAUAACGGUCCUAAGGUAGCGAAAUUCCUUGUCGGGUAAGUUCCGACCUGCACGAAUGGCGUAAUGAUGGCCAGGCUGUCUCCACCCGAGACUCAGUGAAAUUGAACUCGCUGUGAAGAUGCAGUGUACCCGCGGCAAGACGGAAAGACCCCGUGAACCUUUACUAUAGCUUGACACUGAACAUUGAGCCUUGAUGUGUAGGAUAGGUGGGAGGCUUUGAAGUGUGGACGCCAGUCUGCAUGGAGCCGACCUUGAAAUACCACCCUUUAAUGUUUGAUGUUCUAACGUUGACCCGUGAUCCGGGUUGCGGACAGUGUCUGGUGGGUAGUUUGACUGGGGCGGUCUCCUCCUAAAGAGUAACGGAGGAGCACGAAGGUUGGCUAAUCCUGGUCGGACAUCAGGAGGUUAGUGCAAUGGCAUAAGCCAGCUUGACUGCGAGCGUGACGGCGCGAGCAGGUGCGAAAGCAGGUCAUAGUGAUCCGGUGGUUCUGAAUGGAAGGGCCAUCGCUCAACGGAUAAAAGGUACUCCGGGGAUAACAGGCUGAUACCGCCCAAGAGUUCAUAUCGACGGCGGUGUUUGGCACCUCGAUGUCGGCUCAUCACAUCCUGGGGCUGAAGUAGGUCCCAAGGGUAUGGCUGUUCGCCAUUUAAAGUGGUACGCGAGCUGGGUUUAGAACGUCGUGAGACAGUUCGGUCCCUAUCUGCCGUGGGCGCUGGAGAACUGAGGGGGGCUGCUCCUAGUACGAGAGGACCGGAGUGGACGCAUCACUGGUGUUCGGGUUGUCAUGCCAAUGGCACUGCCCGGUAGCUAAAUGCGGAAGAGAUAAGUGCUGAAAGCAUCUAAGCACGAAACUUGCCCCGAGAUGAGUUCUCCCUGACUCCUUGA
rnacentral:rRNA from 1 species